GACCCAGGGGGCCCCGGCGGCUGCUCUGCUGAGACCUCUGUGUUUUAUCUGCGGUGAUGGUUACAAGUCAUCGAAAGCCACGCCAUCAAAAAAGCCGGGGAAGCAAGACUCUCUUCUCCCCUCGUCAUCCCUCCGCCUCCUGCUGACCCCCCAAGUUCGCGAGGUUGGUGUGUGUGGCGCUAACCGGGACCCCAGGCUCUGGUGAGGCCUCCCCUGCCAACAGGGUCGUGGGGCCCCGUCAGAGCUGUGCUGGGCCAGAGUCGAGCACGAGAGAAGCUUCUGGAAGGAGGACUCUCCUUAAGCAGCCGUCACAACAGUGAAGCCGAGCUCCCUGAGCGUGAAGAAUCUGGUCCCCCAGCUAUGCUCCCCGGCCGGCCUGGAGCUGGGCACCCCCACCCGAGGAUGGCAGCAGGGGCUGGGCUGAGCGCCCAGGCCCUCAAGGAGCACCGAGAGCAUUGCCCUCACUGCGGCCACCCGGUGCUCCAAGGCAUGGGACCGCGAGGGCGGCAGCGGCCACGCCUCCCUCCACCCUCCAGAGGACGUGGCCCUGGACUUCAGGGACCCCAAGCCCAGCGUCACCCCGGAGGCCAGCCCAGCAGACAGGAGGUGGCCGCACGCCAGCCCGGGCAAGGACCGCUCCGUGGAGAGGAAGGCUGGGGGAAGCGGUCACCCUCCCUCACCUGGGGCGUCCAGCUGUCAACAGAAAAGCUUCAGCCACCCUCCGUGGAGCACGUGACUGAGAGCCAGCCGCUCGCUGCGCUCCUUCAGCU